AAGAAUGGAGAUUAGCAGAUAGAGGAUCGUCAGAAACAGAAAGAGAAGCUCCCUGGGUCGAAUGAGGAGGUACAGUGCUUGUAUUUCCAGAAUUUCGCCCGAGAGGUAUGUUUACUUGUUCAUCCCCCGUAGUUGAUAUCGAGGCAGGGACAGAAAGAGGUGAAGCAACCUCACUCGGUAAUGGCGUCGGGCUUGCUGUUUCAACAGAUUUUUUCUUUUUC
rnacentral:lncRNA from 1 species